GAUGAACGCUAGCGGCAGGCUUAACACAUGCAAGUCGAGGGGUAUUGGUUUUCGGACCAAGAGACCGGCGCACGGGUGCGUAACGCGUAUGCAAUCUACCUUAUACAGGGGAAUAGCCCCAGAGAAAUUUGGAUUAAUGCCCCAUAGUGUUAUCGAAUCGCAUGGUUUGAUAACUAAAGUUCCAACGGUAUAAGAUGAGCAUGCGUCCCAUUAGUUAGUUGGUAAGGUAACGGCUUACCAAGACAAUGAUGGGUAGGGGUCCUGAGAGGGAGAUCCCCCCACACUGGUACUGAGACACGGACCAGACUCCUACGGGAGGCAGCAGUGAGGAAUAUUGGACAAUGGGGCGCAAGCCUGAUCCAGCCAUGCCGCGUGCAGGAAGACGGUCCUAUGGAUUGUAAACUGCUUUUAUACAGGAAGAAACACUCCCUCGUGAGGGAACUUGACGGUACUGUAUGAAUAAGCAUCGGCUAACUCCGUGCCAGCAGCC
rnacentral:rRNA from 1 species